GGCAUUGUGGCUCAGGGUAGAGCACUUGCCUAGCAUGCACAAGGCACAGGGUGCAAUUCCCUGCACCACCA
rnacentral:tRNA from 1 species